UACGUAGGUGGCGAGCGUUGUCCGGAUUUACUGGGCGUAAAGAGCGCGCAGGCGGUCGUACAAGUCGCGUGUGAAAGCCCCCGGCUCAACUGGGGAGGGUCACGCGAUACUGUUCGACUCGAAGGCAGGAGAGGGAAGCGGAAUUCCCAGUGUAGCGGUGAAAUGCGUAGAUAUUGGGAGGAACACCAGUGGCGAAGGCGGCUCACUGGACCGGAACUGACGCUGAGGCGCGAAAGCGUGGGGAGCAAACGGG
rnacentral:rRNA from 1 species